GAGUGAUCGAAAGAUGAAAAGCACUUUGAAAAGAGAGUUAAAAAGCACGUGAAAUUGUUGAAAGGGAAGCGCUUGCGACCAGACUCGCCUCCAGGGUUCAGCCGGCAUUCGUGCCGGUGUACUUCCCUGGGGGCGGGCCAGCGUCGGUUUGGGCGGCCGGUCAAAGGCUCCCGGAAUGUAGUGCCCUCCGGGGCACCUUAUAGCCGGGAGUGCAAUGCGGCCAGCCUGGACCGAGGAACGCGCUUCGGCACGGACGCUGGCAUAAUGGUCGUAAACGAC
rnacentral:rRNA from 1 species